GGGGAUUCAUGUUUUCUAUGAUUGACACUUUAUACAGCUUAUGGACGUACGAAGAUUUCGAAGCUCACCCAGGGGAUACCAUAGACAAAAUAUACAUAGACGCCUCAAAACCUGACGCUGCCUAUUGGAGCUCACAUAUCAGCGCGGCCACCAUCUUGGAUGGAUCCCCCAUGUGCCUCCAGUGUACUAAGGUAGGUAGGAAUGCCCAACCAUAUUAAUAAUAACUCUCUGAAUCUCUGCCCAAUUUUCACACUGUUUGUUUUUUUUACAACAGCAGGGAUGUAGCCAUAAUACAGGACAAUGUCAUACAUUAAAAAUAAAUCAAAUUAGUUUUCGAUCCCAUUUGUAAUAUAUAAUCCUACUUAGUCUGGUUUAAAUACUGCGUCAGGUUUUUCAACCAUAGAGUGCAAAGUGGGGAGUGGAGAGAUCCAUCCAAUAUGGCGGCGACGCUGGAUUACGCUCCAGCAUGUAAUGAGGCGUGUACGUAUAUAAUGUCUAUGGGGGAUACGCUGUUUGAGCCGAGCGUCAUCACACUGACUCUUCCACCGAAUGCUUACAAUGCUACUGCGCAAUAUUGGUUUCAGGAAGUAGAGGAAUUUUUUGGCUUCAAAUCCGUAUACUGGCGGAAAGCGGAACCAAGUUGUCCAUAGUAUAUACAGUCUAUGGUUUGCAUAGAGAAGCAAGCCGUUUCUAUACUAUUCUAUAUUAUAAGCAGUACCAUCUCUAUAUAUAGAUACUUAGUGACCAAUUCCAGUUAGCACUUCUUGUCAAAAAUGACAUCACAACUGGCUAUGCUUCAGGUAAUUGUGCAGCUGUCACUCAAGCAGACAAUGAGUGACUGAUGUGGACCAUCAGUUCAAUCAGCACCUUUAGAGUUUAACAGCAGGAGCCCAGGGGGCCAUGAUGCUUGCUCGUUGACUGAGGCUCCCACUGGACUCCCUGUAAUAGUCCUCUCCUCUGUUGUGUUCCAGAUUAAAGCAAACGGGCCAUCAGCUCAGGCAGACAGGAUCAUUUGAAGCC